UACGUAGGGUCCAAGCGUUAUCCGGAAUCACUGGGCGUAAAGCGUGCGUAGGUGGAUGUUUAAGUGUGAUGUUAAAUCGUGUGGCUCAACCAUAUCGAUGCAUCGCAUACUGGACGUCUAGAGGACAGCAGAGGCAAGUGGAGUUUGUAGUGUAGCAGUGAAAUGCGUAGAUAUUACAAGGAACACCAAUGGCGAAGGCAGCUUGCUGGGCUACUCCUGACACUGAGGUACGAAAGCGUGGGGAGCGAACAGG
rnacentral:rRNA from 1 species